GCCGCGCCAGGCGGGGCGGCGGCAGCGACGCCGCUGCCAGCGCGGAGCAGCGCGGGCGAGGCGCCGGGAAUGGCUCCGGCAGUGACCGGCGGGGUUCCGCCGACUGCGCCAUCGUUGGGCUCCACGGCUGCCUGGCUGGGCGGCAGCUCCGCUCUCGAUGGAGAGGCUCCCCAGGUUUUGCCAAUCCAUGAUUUACAGACAACUACUUUGACAACUAAAACUGAUGGCAAUGAUGGCAAGACUGAACACCUAGAGUAUAUUGCCUUUGCUUUGGUUCCUGUUUUCUUCAUCAUGGGUCUUUUGGGGAUCCUUAUCUGCCAUGUCCUUAAGAAAAAAGGUUAUCGUUGUACAACGGAGGCUGAAGAAGUAGAAGAAGAAAAACUUGAUGAAAAAAUAGAAAUGAAUGAAACUAUACAUGAAAAUAGUGACACUGUGGGACAAAUAGUUAACUACAUCAUGAAAAAUGAAGCAAAUGCUGAUGUGUUAAAGGCCAUGGUAGCAGAUAGCAGUGUCUUUGAACCUGAAAGCCCUUUAUCUCCUACCUCUCCUGAGAGUCCAAUGAGUCCAGGGACUCCUUUGUCACCCGGUGCUGUUCCGUUCAAGCACAACUGCAAAGCCCAUCACUUCCAUACUGUUGGAGGAGUGGUAGAAAAGGAUGUUUGUACUCGUUGUAGUCACAAACGAUGGCACCUUAUAAAGCCAGCUCACAAAUCUAAAGAGAACAGAAGAAGUCGUAUUGGAGAAGUUACAGUCCUUUCUGUGGGAAGAUUUCGAGUCACAAAAGUGGAGCACAAAUCAAAUUCCAAAGAACGGAAGAGCUUGAUGUCUGUUACUGGCGUGGAGAGUGUCAAUGGUGAUAUGCCUGCCACGCCUGCGAAACAAGAAGUGAGCGAAGCACCUGCCACGCCAGUGAAACAGGAAAUGCAGGAGAGGAGAAACUCAGAGAGGAGAAGCUCAGAGUAAACUGCAGAUCAAUGGAGCUUUGACUAAUAACAAUGGAGACAUGAAACUGCCUGUAUCGCAGGGAUCUAACUGAGCCAGGUGGUUGGGGUUUUCUUGUGAGUCAUUAAAUUUCAGUGAAUUGCUCGAGGUGGAACUUUUAGAAGAAGCUUGUCUGUGAGCACUUUGGAGAAAACUGAAAACUCCCAGGAGGCGCAUACUAUUUAAGGAAAUGUAUUUAUGGCACUGCAGCAUUUUACAGGUUCUGUGAUGGCAUUCAUGCAAGGUUGAACACUUAAUGGGUUUUGACCAGUAAAAUCAGUCAGAUUUAGACACUUGAAUACUGUUGAGCUGUGUGGACAUCAUACCAAGUGCCUUUGUCUUGGAAAGAAAGCAUACAUACCGGUUUUUGGACAGGAAAGGUAAAAGCCUUAUGAAGUCUUUAAUUUUUUUUGUACUUAGACAAACAUUUCUAGUGAGCUCAAUAUUAAGAGGAAUACAAUGACCCCGUGGAUAAACUGUGUUCACCCCAGUGUUCCCUCUGGAUUUUUCUUCUUCUGUUCUACCCACUCCAGAAUUGACAAGUGUUUGCUGAGGAUAAAAGCCAGGCUUUGAAGGAUGAAAAUAUUCUUUUAAUCUAACUGCUAGGAGCCAAGUAAAACAUACAAGGAAAUAAUUAUGUCAGCCAAAUCUGCAUCUGUGCCUUUAGUACAUAAGCCCUCAAGCUCUGCGAAGGGUAUUUCACAGCAGAGUGGUUCAGCUAUAUGCAGAUGUUAAAUUAAAUUGUUGUUUUCCCCCACCCCUUACCUUCCCCUUACUACUUAAUAUAGGCCGAAGAGCAUAUUUUCCUGUGCAGUUAGAUGAGCUCUUGGGAAGAUUACUUUCUUCAAGGCCUUUUGUUCUCCCAUUUUCUUGUAACUACUCACUUGUAUUUGAAGAAUACCUAAUAGUUUUGCUUUUUUUUGGUUGUUGUUUUUACCCACAGGUUCCUUAUUAAGCUAAGGCAGCAUAUUUCAACCCUUAGAUAAGGAUAUGGAAUAUUUGGCAUUAAAAAUUUAUGGCGUAUAUACUAAAUUGCUUCAGAGUGACUUUAUUGGGCUGAGGGUAGCUGUUUUCAUUGGCACCAAAAUCUUAAGCCAGUGUCACUCCCUUCAUAUUUUAAGUGUGACUUGCUACUAAAAAUACCAUGGUAUUUUGAUGUUAAUUCUUUGUAUCUACUUAUGAUCUCUGCUUUGUCCUAUUACUUGUUUUGGGGAGAGAAAUCUCUAUAAUACUUAGCAAACUUUUCUAUGUAAUAGAAACUGAAAAAUAACAUUUGUUCUGAGUGCCUAAGAAUGUAAGCUCUAAUGUAAUGCAUUUUAGUAGAGAUUGCACUAUAUUCUGAGAACUGUAACUUAAUCUGCUUUAUGAACUCAAUGAAAAUCAGCGAAUGUUUUUGAAAUUGAUUUAUUUUAAAUUAAUACCUUCAAUCUUUUUAAUCCAAGUGCUCUACACUGUUUCUCCUUCAUAUCUGAGAAUUGUGUUCUUCAUCAAUUCAUACAGUGUUAACAGUCAGUGUGUACAAAAUUAAUCUUGCUUGUGUAUUAGAUACUCUUGUGUCCUGUCAGGAAACAUUAAGUUUUUCACUCUUGGUGAAAGCAUGUGCUGCUGAUGGUCUUCCUUUUACUUGUAUCCCCAAGAUAUUGAUCGGGCCUAUUCAGUGAUGUUAUAUUUGCCAAAAAACCACACCACUGCCCACCAAAACUUUGAAAAUAAUGUGUGUUUGUGUGUUUUGUUUUUGUUUUUUAAAUUGAUGUUUUUAGAGAUAAUCGUCUGUCCUUGAGAACCCAAAAUAAUCGUUUGGCUAGGACCGGAACCUGAGUGUUCAGUAUCCCUGCUCCCCUUAAUUUAAACUUGGCUUAUGAAAUCUCUUCAGUAUUUAAGUACAACAUAAACACCAAGCUCACCUUAUAGGCAUACGUUAAGCUUCACUUGAUUAUUAGUGUGAAGAACUAAUAUUUCUAGAAGAUGUAAUUAGUAUUGAUUAUAGUAGUUAGCUUUCAGUUUCCAAGAGAUUGAUAGCUAUGAGUAUAAAAUGUUGCUGGGAAAAGGGAAUAUUGGGCAAAACCAAGCAGUUUCAAAUAAUUUUCAGAAAGGAAUUACACAAUUACAGACUGUUCCAAAAACUUUUUUUAAAAAAAGGGUGAUUUAUUUUGAUACUAUAUUUUGAUACAUGAUGGGUUAGUACUGCAAAUAAAUUUGUCAAAAGGAUGGAACAAAGUUUAAGUAGAAAUAUGUAUUUUUUUACUUAUUAUAAAAUAGUUUCUAUUUUGAUUCCAUUGAAAAUAUGUAGAAUAAAGGGAAUGGAAAGAUGUUGGAUAUGUAAAAUGUUUACCUGUAUAAAAUGGUUAACUAAGGUAUUAUCAGGUCUGAUAUGUUCAAGAAUUGAAUUUAUGCAUUGCUUCUUGAGUAAGAGAGGAUUUAGAAACUGUGCCUGUUUCACUGCCUUUAACACUACACUGCUAUUUUAUAGGGGUAUGGAUAUUGCUAUAUUAGUUUGCCUUUCUUAAAUUUGCAUAUCAAAUGUAUUUUAACAAAAUAGUUUAUAUACAACUUUUAUACUACCAAGCAGUAAAUAAAAAAAUAUUGAUUCUUAA